ACGAUGCCUCUGUGGUGUAGUGGUAGCGCACGCCUCCGCUAUGGGUGAAAACGCGGGUUCAACUCCCGUCUGUUGUC